AUGCAGCCUGGACCACCUGCUUGCUUGUACACAGCCCUAGCCUUCAUCUGCCUUGGUCCCAGCAAUGUUGAGGGCGUCGAUCUAUCUACAAACAAAGUGUAUAAGAAAGAGGGGGAGUCUGUGACCAUGGAAUGCAAGUUCUCAGUCAGCUCUAUUUACUACUAUAUGAUGUACUGGUAUCGACAGCUUUCCAGUGGAAAGAUAACUCUUUGUGUGAUUAAUAUUUAUUCUUAUAAGCGGCAUUCAUGUGACGGACGAUAUACUGUAAAGUUUUACAAUCCAACCCUGAAGCUCACGAUCUCGGUUUUGAUGCUUAGCGACUCGGCCAUCUAUCACUGCGCUAUCGCAGAGGUCCACGGUGAGGGUGGUGACAGGGAGUGCCUUACAAAAACCCCCAGGCUCAGCACAAGACAGCCACCUGCUCCUGGAGUCAGGAAGAGAACAACCCACAGGACAGGAAGAGGGUAGACACAGGCACGGUGGGUGGCUCUGCUGGGUCUAGAGAGGAGCCAGUGAUUGAUCUAGGAAUGAUCUUGCCACAUUUGCUGUCAAAGAAGGAGUGGCUGCAAGCACCUAACCUCAAGAGCAUUUUCAUUUCCAAUCUAGUGCCUAAGUGUAGCCCAUCAAAGGGUGCCUCUGUCAUUUCUGCCAGCCCAAAGCCCACCUCCCUUUUCGGGUGACAGCACCUUGAUUUUCCCUGGAUAACAAGACUCCCCUCCUCCUACCCCACGUGUGGGUUUGUAUGAGGCU